GACGUAGGGGGGCCAGCGUUGUUCGGAAUUACUGGGUGUAAAGGGUUCGCAGGCGGUGUGGCAAGUCGGGAGUGAAAUCUCUGGGCUCAACUCAGAGACUGCUUCCGAAACUGCUGUGCUGGAGUGUGGGAGAGGCGCGUGGAAUUGCAGGUGUAGCGGUGAAAAUGCGUAGAUAUUGGGAAGAACACCAGUGGCGAAGGCGGCUCACUGGCCCGUAACUGACGCUGAGGUGCGAAAGCGUGGGGAGCAAACAGG
rnacentral:rRNA from 1 species